rnacentral:rRNA from 1 species
CCGUUGGCUYYYGKUYKRGYCGKGAUGYCGGGASCUUGCUCCUUGAUUCAGSGGCGGACGGGUGAGUAMCGUCUWRGAAUCUGCCUGGUAGUGGGGGACAACGUUUCGAAMGGAWCGCUAAUACCGCAUACGUCCUACGGGAGAAAGCAGGGGACCUUCGGGCCUUGCGCUAUCAGAUGAGCCUAGGUCGSAUUAGCUAGUUGGUGAGGUAAUGGCUCACCAAGGCGACGAUCCGUAACUGGUCUGAGAGGAUGAUCAGUCACACUGGAACUGAGACACGGUCCAGACUCCUACGGGAGGCAGCAGUGGGGAAUAUUGGACAAUGGGCGAAAGCCUGAUCCAGCCAUGCCGCGUGUGUGAAGAAGGUCUUCGGAUUGUAAAGCACUUUAAGUUGGGAGGAAGGGCAGUAAGUUAAUACCUUGCUGUUUUGACGUUACCGACAGAAUAAGCACCGGCUAACUCUGUGCCAGCAGCCGCGGUAAUACAGAGGGUGCAAGCGUUAAUCGGAAUUACUGGGCGUAAAGCGCGCGUAGGUGGUUCGUUAAGUUGGAUGUGAAAGCCCCGGGCUCAACCUGGGAACUGCAUCCAAAACUGGCGAGCUAGAGUAUGGUAGAGGGUGGUGGAAUUUCCUGUGUAGCGGUGAAAUGCGUASAUAUAGGAAGGAACACCAGUGGCGAAGGCSACCACCUGGACUGAUACUGACACUGAGGUGCGAAAGCGUGGGGAGMMAAACAGGAUUAGAUACCCUGGUAGUCCACGCCGUAAACGAUGUCAACUAGCCGUUGGAAAUCCUUUGAARAUUUUUAGUGGCGCAGCUAACGCAUUAAGUUGAACCGCCUGGGKGAGUACGCCCGCAAGGUUAAAACYUCAAWUGAAUUGAACGGGGGGCCCCCGCUCACWCACAKAYASYCGWGWKGG